AUGUCAGCACCAUGUACAAUAAAAUUGGAACGAUACAGACUAGAAUGGCCCCUGCGCAAGGAUGACAUGCAAAUUCCUGAAACAUUACAUAUUUUU
rnacentral:snRNA from 1 species